GACUGAAGAACCCGGCCCAGACUCCUACGGGAGGCAGCAGUGGGGAAUAUGCACAAUGGCGCAGCUGAUGCAGCGACGCCGCGUGAGGGGAUGACGGCCUUCGGGUUGUAAACCUCUUUCAGUAGGGAAGAAGCGAAAGUGACGGUACCUGCAGAAGAAGCGCCGGCUAACUACGUGCCAGCAGCCGCGGUAAUACGUAGGGCGCAAGCGUUAUCCGGAAUUAUUGGGCGUAAAGAGCUCGUAGGCGGUUUGUCGCGUCUGCCGUGAAAGUCCGGGGCUCAACUCCGGAUCUGCGGUGGGUACGGGCAGACUAGAGUGAUGUAGGGGAGACUGGAAUUCCUGGUGUAGCGGUGAAAUGCGCAGAUAUCAGGAGGAACACCGAUGGCGAAGGCAGGUCUCUGGGCAUUAACUGACGCUGAGGAGCGAAAGCAUGGGGAGCGAACAGGAUUAGAUACCCUGGUAGUCCAUGCCGUAAACGUUGGGCACUAGGUGUGGGGGACAUUCCACGUUUUCCGCGCCGUAGCUAACGCAUUAAGUGCCCCGCCUGGGGAGUACGGCCGCAAGGCUAAAACUCAAAGGAAUUGACGGGGGCCCGCACAAGCGGCGGAGCAUGCGGAUUAAUUCGAUGCAACGCGAAGAACCUUACCAAGGCUUGACAUGAACCGGAAAUACCUGGAGACAGGUGCCCCGCUUGCGGUCGGUUUACAGGUGGUGCAUGGUUGUCGUCAGCUCGUGUCGUGAGAUGUUGGGUUAAGUCCCGCAACGAGCGCAACCCUCGUUCUAUGUUGCCAGCACGUGAUGGUGGGGACUCAUAGGAGACUGCCGGGGUCAACUCGGAGGAAGGUGGGGACGACGUCAAAUCAUCAUGCCCCUUAUGUCUUGGGCUUCACGCAUGCUACAAUGGCCGGUACAAAGGGUUGCGAUACUGUGAGGUGGAGCUAAUCCCAAAAAGCCGGUCUCAGUUCGGAUUGGGGUCUGCAACUCGACCCCAUGAAGUCGGAGUCGCUAGUAAUCGCAGAUCAGCAACGCUGCGGUGAAUACGUUCCCGGGCCUUGUACACACCGCCCGUCAAGUCACGAAAGUUGGUAACACCCGAAGCCGGUGGCCUAACCCCUUGUGGGAGGGAGCUGUCGAAGGUGGACUGACGACGUA
rnacentral:rRNA from 1 species